CACCCUCCAGAGCCUCAUGUUAUGCUCCUGUGUCCUUCACAAUCUUCCCCUCCCAUACCCUGCCAUCCCGGUGUGGGGGUUGUAAAUCCAGUUUGCAUCCAUAAAGAGCCCUGGUGCAAGGCUGGACAGCAAUGGCCCUCAGAGAACAGAACAGGCUCGGGAAGGGCCAGGCAGUGCUCGAGCCUCGGGUGAGCAAGCGCAUGGCUUUUCAAAGCAGACCAUCUGCAGGAGGGGGACCACCCUCACCCAAGGCGCAGUCAUGUUCCCUUGGGGAACUUUGAGAGCUGAGUGGGCUUUGCCCCCCUCAUGUAACUGCUCCCUGGAUUUAAGGAGCUUUAAUUCCAUUUUUUAAUGACUUUCCUUCUCCUGAGAAGUAUCUGUCUCCAUGGCUGCCUCGGGUUGGCUACAGUAGUAGAAAGUAUGACUCUACCCUGCUGUCAUACCUGGGUGGGAAAAGUCAACAAACGAGUAACGGGAGAAGCAAGGAAGCCCCUGGGGUGGGUGGGUCAGGGAAGCCCCUUUGAGAUAGUCUGGGGCAUGAGAAGACCUGGCCAUGACCUCAGUGUGUUGUUUCUGCCCGUGCUGCCACAGGUUAGCAGAGGAGCCAGACAGAGGAAGCUCAGGCACAGAGGACGAGGAGCAAGCUGGCGCCGACAUGGCGAAGGCAAGGUCUUCCCCCAGAGGCACAUUCCUCUCCAUCUUUCCACCGCACACCUGGACCAGGCUUGCAGGCUGCCAGACGUCACUCCACCCGCCAGGGAGAGGGGAGCCAGAGCCGGUGGGAAGCGGGGAGGGGCUGCGUGGCACAGCUGGUGGGCCUCCCCCUGCACAGCCCUGCAUGUACUAGCACCUUCAUCACUCCCC
rnacentral:sRNA from 1 species